rnacentral:rRNA from 1 species
UACGGGGGGGGCAAGCGUUGUUCGGAAUUACUGGGCGUAAAGGGCUCGUAGGUGGCCAACUAAGUCAGACGUGAAAUCCCUCGGCUUAACCGGGGAACUGCGUCUGAUACUGGAUGGCUUGAGUUCGGGAGAGGGAUGCGGAAUUCCAGGUGUAGCGGUGAAAUGCGUAGAUAUCUGGAGGAACACCGGUGGCGAAGGCGGCAUCCUGGACCGAUAUUGACGCUGAUGCGCGAAAGCCAGGGGAGCAAACGGG